UAGCCUAGUGGUUAAGGCUAUGGAUCGCCAAUCCGGAGACUGCGGGUUCGAUUCCCGU
rfam:Aedes albopictus isolate Foshan contig142846, whole genome shotgun sequence.